GGGUAUAUAGCUCAGUGGUAGAGUGUGUGCUUAGCAUGCACGAGGUCCUGGGUUCAAUCCCCAGCACUUCCA
rnacentral:tRNA from 1 species